AGAAUCAUUAUUCUUCAACGCAAGAAGACUUAAUCUCAGUGUGCAGAAGAGCACGAUUCUAACUCAAUGGAGAUAAUCAAGGAAGGUUCUUCAACUACUCGUCCUCGAGUACUUGAUGGCAAACUGUUGAUGGAAGGGCUUAGAGAACUGUUGUUGCUGAAUGGGAACCACCUAUGGUUACGAUGGAUGGUAGAUCAAUUCCAAAACCUGAAAUAGAAUGGACAGAUGUUGAAGACCAAGUUUCUUUGGGAAAUUCAAGAGCGCUUAAUGCAAUUUAUAAUGGAGUGGAUUUAAAUGUGUUUAAAUUGAUCAACUUUUGCAGUUUAGCUAAAGAGGCCAAGACAAUUUUUUAAGUUGCUUAUAAGGGUACUUCUAAAGUUAAAAUCUCUAAGUUACAAUUGUUAACAUUCAAGUUUGAAUCUUUAAAAAUGAUGGAAGAAGAAACAAUGGCAAAAUACAAUGUGAGAGUUCUGGAGAUUGCAAAUGAAUCAUUCAAUCUUGCUGACAGGAUACCUGAAUCUAAACUAGUAAGAAAAGUGUUGCGUUCUUUGUCCAACAAAUUUGAUAUGAUGUUUACUACAAUUGAAGAA